rnacentral:lncRNA from 1 species
GCCCACCUUGCUCGCAGGUGCCCUUGCUGACCUGGGUGAUGGCCUUCUCCCCGCGGCUCUCGGCCCUCUGGCUGGCGGCGCGCAGCUGGCAGCCGCUCGGGUAGCGGCUCUUGCACACGCACACGCCGCUUACACCCGGACCGCCGGCUGCUGCCCCGGCUUUACCCUUCCGCCUCUUGCGGCUCUUCACGCACUCCAUGCCCGGCGCGCAGUACCCCCUGCCGGCUCGCAGGGGCCGCAGGUGUCCGAAGAGGAGGAAGAGGAGAGGGG